rnacentral:rRNA from 1 species
GACGAACGCUGGCGGCGUGCCUAACACAUGCAAGUCGAACGGGAUCCAUGGGAGCUUGCUCCCGGAAGAUCUAGUGGCGAACGGGUGAGUAACACGUGAGAAACCUGCCUCGGAGUCGGGGAUAACUCGGGGAAACUCGAGCUAAUACCGGAUACCUUCCUCGGACCGCAUGGUCCGUUGAAGAAAGAUUCAUCGCUCCGAGAUGGUCUCGCGGCCUAUCAGCUAGUUGGUGGGGUAACGGCCCACCAAGGCUACGACGGGUAGCUGGUUUGAGAGAAUGAUCAGCCACACUGGGACUGAGACACGGCCCAGACUCCUACGGGAGGCAGCAGUGGGGAAUCUUGCGCAAUGGGCGAAAGCCUGACGCAGCAACGCCGCGUGCGGGAAGAAGGCCUUUGGGUUGUAAACCGCUUUCAGCAGGGACGAAACUGACGGUACCUGCAGAAGAAGGUCCGGCUAACUACGUG